rnacentral:lncRNA from 1 species
GGGGGGGGGGGGGGGGGGGGGGGGGGGGGGGGGGGGGGGGGGGGGGGGGGGGGGGGGGGGGGGGGGGGGGGGGGGGGGGGGGGGGGGGGGGGGGGGGGGGGGGGGGGGCCCGGGGCGGGGACAGCGGCCGCCCCGCCCGGCUCGGGAACGGGAACGGGAACGGGGACUCCCGGGAUGGGAGCGGGACACUACCGCAGCGUGACCGCGGGGCACGGCCCGGUACUGUGCGGUCCCGGUCCGGUCCAGGCACAGCUCCGGUACAGUCUUGGUACAGUCCUGACACGGUCCCGGCACAGUGCAGGGGACACGGGCACCUGAAGGGUCCCAGCCUUCCAUGGACACCCCGCAUUCCUGCCCGAGGACACAGACAGGGACACGGACACCCAUGGCCGCCAGCCAGGCAGCGCCUCGAGCCGCCGGCGCUGCAUCCCGCUCAAAGGCCGGAUUGUUCCCAGCGCAGCGGGAGCCUGGCCAGCCCAGCGCUGGCGCUGUGCGGUACUGCGGGGGGACGAGAGGCAUCCGUGGGGUGGUGGGGUCCCCGCUGCCCUCACCCCUACGGGAACAUGUGUUCUGCCAGGGGUUGGGUCCGGUGUGCUGGGCAUGUCCGGGAAGGCGGCUGUGGCUGCUUUGCCGGGAUGUGGUUAUGGGCACAGGUGGGUGUUGGGAGCUGGCAGGGUGGGCGCUGCUGAGGGCACGUGCCCCCACUAAACCAGACCUCUUGUCCUGUCCCCCAGUGUCCUGCCCCAGAUUUCAUAGGCCCUCCUCAGAUCCUUUCCCUAAAUCCCCCUUACCUGCUCCCCCUAUUUACUUCCCCUCUAGCCCCUCCCCAUGCCUUCUCCCCAUUCUCCCCUCCUCAUAGUCCCCUUCCCACCUCUCCAUCCCAGAUCCCUCUGCCCAGACCCUCUCCCCACCGGGGGGGGGGGGGGGGGGGGGGGGGGGGGGGGGGGGGGGGGGGG